UUUAAAACCCCACUCUUAUAAAUUGAAUCAUUUUAUAUUAUGUAUGUAAUAAAUAAAGAUCACUUUCAACAACGGACCUCUUGCUUCUCUCAUCGAUGAACAACGUAGCGAACUGCGAUAAGUGAUGUGAAUUGCAUACUUCGGUGCAUCA
rnacentral:rRNA from 1 species